CCUACGGGAGGCAGCAGUGGGGAAUAUUGCACAAUGGGCGGAAGUCUGAUGCAGCAACGCCGCGUGCGGGAUGACGGCCUUCGGGUUGUAAACCGCUUUCGCCUGUGACGAAGCGUGAGUGACGGUAAUGGGUAAAGAAGCACCGGCUAACUACGUGCCAGCAGCCGCGGUGAUACGUAGGGUGCGAGCGUUGUCCGGAUUUAUUGGGCGUAAAGGGCUCGUAGGUGGUUGAUCGCGUCGGAAGUGAAAUCUUGGGGCUUAACCCUGAGCGUGCUUUCGAUACGGGUUGACUUGAGGAAGGUAGGGGAGAAUGGAAUUCCUGGUGGAGCGGUGGAAUGCGCAGAUAUCAGGAGGAACACCAGUGGCGAAGGCGGUUCUCUGGACCUUUCCUGACGCUCAUGCACGAAAGCGUGGGGAGCAAACAGGAUUAGAUACCCCGGUAGUC
rnacentral:rRNA from 1 species